CUUGCGGGGCCAGUCCAUCUUCAGUGCCGUGCAUACCUACGGCCUCUAUGUGAACUUCAAGAACUUUGUCUGCAACAUUGGGGAAGACGCAGAGUUGUUCAUGGCCCUCUACGACCCGGACCAGUCCACGUUCAUCAGUGAAAACUACCUAAUUCGCUGGGGCAGCAAUGGAAUGCCCAAGGAGAUCGAGAAGCUUAAUAACCUUCAAGCGGUCUUUACUGACCUCAGUAGCACAGACCUCAUCCGGCCCCGCAUCAGCCUCGUGUGCCAAAUUGUCCGGGUUGGCCACAUGGAGCUGAAGGAGGGCAAAAAGCACACAUGUGGACUCCGAAGACCCUUUGGAGUAGCAGUGAUGGAUAUUACCGAUAUCAUACAUGGGAAGGUGGAUGAUGAAGAAAAGCAACAUUUUAUUCCCUUUCAGCAAAUUGCCAUGGAAACCUAUAUCCGGCAGAGGCAGCUAAUCAUGUCGCCCCUGAUAACAUCUCAUGUGAUUGGGGAGAAUGAGCCACUCACUUCAGUCUUGAAUAAAGUGAUAGCAGCCAAGGAAGUGAAUCACAAAGGACAAGGACUUUGGGUGUCCUUGAAGCUCCUGCCGGGGGACCUCACACAGGUUCAGAAAAACUUUUCACACUUGGUGGAUAGAUCCACAGCAAUCGCCCGGAAAAUGGGCUUUCCUGAAAUAAUCCUUCCAGGAGAUGUUCGGAAUGAUAUUUACGUCACCCUGAUCCAUGGGGAGUUUGACAAAGGGAAAAAGAAGACACCGAAGAACGUGGAGGUGACCAUGUCUGUGUUUGAUGAGGAGGGCAGGCUCUUGGAGAAAGCAAUUCAUCCUGGUGCUGGAUACGAAGGCAUUUCCGAGUACAAAUCAGUGGUCUAUUACCAAGUCAAGCAGCCCUGUUGGUAUGAGACUGUCAAGGUAUCCAUUGCUAUAGAAGAAGUUGCUCGCUGCCAUAUAAGAUUUACCUUCCGACACCGGUCAUCUCAGGAAUCCAGAGAUAAAUCGGAGCGAGCCUUCGGGGUGGCCUUCGUGAAGCUGAUGAACCCGGACGGCACCACCCUGCAGGACGGGAGGCAUGAUCUGGUGCUUUAUAAGGGUGACAACAAGAAAAUGGAAGAUGCUAAAUUCUACCUGACCCUGCCUGGAACCAAAGUGGAGAUGGAAGAAAAGGAGCUCCAGGCAUCCAAAACCCCAGGCAACUUUACGCCAAACAAGGAUAGCACAAAAGAUAGCUUUCAGAUCGCCACCCUCAUCUGCUCCACAAAGCUCACUCAGAACGUUGACCUGUUAGGCUUGUUAAAUUGGCGUUCGAACCCUCAGAACAUUAAACACAACUUAAAGAAGUUAAUGGAGGUGGAUGGAGGAGAAAUUGUUAAGUUUUUGCAAGAUACGCUAGAUGCACUUUUUAACAUAAUGAUGGAAAUGUCAGACGAUGAAGCAUAUGACUUCCUUGUGUUUGAUGCACUGGUGUUUAUUAUUUCACUGAUAGGCGACAUCAAGUUCCAGCAUUUCAAUCCCGUCCUGGAGACCUACAUUUACAAGCACUUCAGUGCCACUCUGGCCUAUGUGAAACUCUCCAAGGUACUGAACUUUUACGUGGCGAAUGCAGAUGACUCCAGCAAGACAGAAUUGCGUUUCGCUGCUUUGAAAGCCUUAAAGUACUUGUUUAGGUUCAUCAUCCAAUCUAGAGUGCUCUACUUGAGAUUUUAUGGCCAAAGUGAAGAUGGAGAUGAGUUUAGUAAUUCAAUCCGCCAGUUAUUUCUCGCUUUCAAUAUGCUGAUGGACAGGCCUCUGGAGGAAGCUGUCAAGAUCAAGGGGGCAGCCUUGAAGUACCUUCCUAGCAUCAUUAAUGACGUCAAACUUGUGUUCGAUCCAGUUGAGCUCAGCGUACUCUUCUGCAAGUUCAUUCAGAGCAUCCCUGACAACCAGUUAGUUCGCCAGAAACUGAACUGCAUGACCAAGAUAGUAGAGAGCAAUCUUUUCCGGCAGUCGGAGUGCAGAGAUGUGUUGUUGCCUCUGCUGAUAGACCAGCUCAGCGGCCAAUUAGACGACAACUCCAGCAAGCCUGACCAUGAGGCCAGCUCGCAGCUUCUGAGCUACCUCCUGGAAGUUCUGGACAGGAAGGAUGUGGGUCCCACGGCGCUCCACGUACAGCUGAUAAUGGAACGGCUGCUGCGAAGGAUCAACCGGACCGUGAUUGGGAUGAGCCGACAGUCUCCCCACAUCGGGAGUUUCAUUGCUUGCAUGAUUGCCAUCCUGCGGCAGAUGGACGAGAGCCACUACAGCCACUACAUCAGCACUUUCAAGACCAGACAAGACAUUAUUGACUUCCUCAUGGAAACUUUUAUCAUGUUUAAGGAUCUAAUUGGAAAGAACGUCUACGCCAAAGACUGGAUGGUGAUGAAUAUGACACAGAACAGGGUUUUCCUCCGUGCCAUAAAUCAGUUUGCUGAGGUUCUCACAAGGUUCUUCAUGGAUCAGGCAAGCUUUGAACUUCAGCUCUGGAACAAUUACUUCCAUUUGGCAGUCGCUUUUCUCACCCAUGAGUCCCUUCAGCUUGAAACCUUCUCACAAGCCAAGCGCAACAAAAUUGUAAAAAAAUACGGGGACAUGAGAAAGGAAAUCGGCUUUAGGAUCCGGGACAUGUGGUAUAACCUGGGUCCCCACAAAAUCAAAUUCAUCCCAUCCAUGGUGGGUCCCAUUCUGGAGGUCACACUGACCCCCGAAGUAGAGCUCCGGAAAGCCACCAUCCCCAUUUUCUUUGAUAUGAUGCAGUGUGAGUUCAAUUUCAGUGGAAAUGGCAAUUUCCAUAUGUUUGAGAAUGAGUUGAUCACAAAGCUGGACCAAGAGGUGGAAGGGGGAAGAGGAGAUGAACAAUACAAGGUCCUUCUGGAAAAACUGCUUCUAGAACAUUGCCGGAAACAUAAAUACCUCUCCAGCUCCGGAGAAGUAUUCGCGCUCCUGGUCAGCAGCCUCUUAGAGAAUCUCUUGGACUACAGGACCAUUAUCAUGCAUGACGAGAGCAAGGAAAACCGCAUGAGCUGUACCGUUAACGUGCUGAAUUUUUACAAAGAAAAGAAGAGAGAGGACAUCUACAUAAGAUACUUGUACAAGCUGCGGGAUUUGCACCGGGACUGUGAGAACUACACCGAAGCUGCCUACACACUCCUCCUACAUGCUGAGCUCCUGCAGUGGUCUGACAAGCCCUGUGUACCCCAUUUGCUUCAGAGGGACACUUACUAUGUGUAUACCCAGCAAGAGCUUAAAGAGAAGCUGUAUCAAGAAAUCAUAUCGUAUUUUGACAAAGGCAAGAUGUGGGAGAAGGCAAUCAAGCUGAGCAAAGAGUUGGCUGAGAAUUAUGAGAGCAAAGUAUUCGACUACGAGGGCCUGGGUGAUCUCCUGAAAAAAAGAGCCUCAUUUUAUGAGAACAUCAUUAAGGCAAUGAGGCCUCAGCCUGAAUACUUUGCUGUUGGCUACUACGGACAGGGCUUUCCUUCUUUCCUACGGAACAAGAUCUUCAUCUACCGGGGGAAGGAGUACGAGAGGCGAGAAGACUUCAGCCUGCGGCUGCUGACCCAGUUUCCCAACGCCGAGAAGAUGGCCAGCACCACGCCCCCAGGAGAGGACAUCAAGUCCUCCCCCAAGCAGCACAUGCAGUGUUUCACCGUAAAGCCAGUGAUGAGCCUGCCGCCCAGCUACAAAGAUAAACCAGUUCCAGAGCAGAUCUUAAACUACUACAGAGCCAAUGAAGUACAGCAGUUCAGAUAUUCUCGGCCGUUCCGGAAAGGAGAAAAGGAUCCCGACAAUGAGUUUGCUACCAUGUGGAUUGAAAGGACCACGUAUACGACUGCCUAUACCUUCCCUGGGAUUCUCAAGUGGUUUGAAGUCAAACAGAUUUCAACAGAAGAAAUCAGUCCUCUGGAGAAUGCCAUUGAAACCAUGGAGCUCACCAAUGAGAAGAUCAGCAACUGUGUCCAGCAGCACGCCUGGGACCGGUCCCUCUCCGUGCAUCCCCUCUCCAUGCUGCUCAGUGGCAUCGUGGACCCGGCUGUCAUGGGGGGCUACUCCAACUAUGAGAAGGCUUUUUUUACAGAAAAGUACUUGCAGGAGCAUCCUGAAGACCAGGAGAAGAUCGAGCUGCUAAAGCGACUAAUAGCGUUGCAGAUGCCUCUGCUGACAGAGGGGAUCCGCAUCCAUGGGGAGAAGCUGACGGAGCAGCUGAAGCCACUGCACGACCGGUUGUCUUCUUGCUUCCGGGAACUCAAGGAGAAAGUGGAAAAGCUCUAUGGGGUUAUAACACUGCCGCCCAACUUGACGGAGAGGAAGCAAAGCCGCACAGGGUCUAUGGUGCUCCCCUACAUCAUGUCGUCCACACUGCGGAGAUUGUCCAUCACCUCGGUGACGUCCUCUGUGAUCUCCAGCUCUUCUAACUCAUCUGAUAAUGCUCCUUCCAGACCAGGAUCUGAUGGGUCCAUCCUGGAGCCCCUUUUGGAGCGCAGGGCCUCGUCAGGGGCCAGAGUGGAAGAUCUGUCCCUCAAAGAGGACAGUGAGAACCGGAUGAGCAAGUUCAAGAGAAAAGACUGGAGUCUGAGCAAAUCCCAGGUCAUCGCAGAGAAAGCAUCAGAACCUGAUCUGAUGAGCCCAGCCAGAAAAGCACAAAGGCCAAAGAGUCUCCAGCUGUCGGACAAUCGGCUGACACCGUUUCAUGGCUCUUCCCCGCCUCAGUCAACACCCCUGAGCCCACCCCCGCUCACUCCUAAAGCGACCAGGACCCUGAGCUCUCCAUCUUUGCAGACAGACGGGCUGAUGAUGGCUACAGUCCCACCUCCCCCUCCACCCAAAAGCAAGCCCUACGAGAGCAGCCAGAGGAACUCCACAGAGGCCGUGUAGAUAAACUCAGAUCAGUGAGAAGCUAAUGCAGAAUGUUGGAAAUGUGGAGUAGAAGGCAGAAUUAGGAAGAAAGAAAGCUUUUCUUUGAUCGAUGCCCGAGGCCACGCCAUAUCUCCUCCAGUCCAUGAGGAAUCCCGGAAUCGGCCGUGCCCCGUGUUUCUCCCUCACCAUUAUUACAUUUCAGCCUCUAGCACAGUCCCACUGGGGUCUACGAAAGCCUGGAUAACUUCAUCAGUGGUGGUGGGAAAACCCCAGUAACCUAUUCCUUGGAGGAAUCUUUUGCUUUGCUUCUGAAAAGCUGUGCUUAAGACGUAGUUUUCUCACGUGGACAUACCUUGUUCCAUACAACAUAUUGGAAGAGACCAACAUCAAGUACUUUGGUAGCUGGAAUCAUCUAUCUUUCUGAGGUCUCCUGUGUCUCCUCUGUGGAAAAGAACAUCUUUUUAAUGGAAAUCGGCUGCUUUCAAGUAUGAAUGGCUAUCAUUAUCGAAAGAACAUGGACUCGGUCGUGAGCCCUGAGCACCUGUGUCCCCCCACCCAGCUGUGACAUGGAAAAGCUUCCCUCCUUCCCCCGGCCCCGCGCCAGGAGUUCCCUCACACUCCCGACUAAUGGUCCUAACUGCAUGGCAGUCACUCCUUCCUACCAUGGACUCCUGAGGCUCUGUCUUUUGCACACAGUUUCUUGUGCUGUUACCUCCUCUGAGCUCAAAUCACUGGAUAUAAGGGACUUAGAAGUCCGGAUUGAACUGCUUCUCUUCCACAUCCCAUUGGAAUGGCUCGGCAGCCCCUGUCUGCAACCUGAUUUUACCUUGGAGAAUACAGUGCAAUAUCUCGCUUUGAUUAUUUA